AGUGAACGCUGGCGGUAGGCCUAACACAUGCAAGUCGAACGGCAGCACAGGAGAGCUUGCUCUCUGGGUGGCGAGUGGCGGACGGGUGAGGAAUACAUCGGAAUCUACCUUUUCGUGGGGGAUAACGUAGGGAAACUUACGCUAAUACCGCAUACGACCUACGGGUGAAAGUGGGGGACCGCAAGGCCUCACGCGAUUAGAUGAGCCGAUGUCCGAUUAGCUAGUUGGCGGGGUAAUGGCCCACCAAGGCGACGAUCGGUUGCUGGUCUGAGAGGAUGAUCAGCCACACGAGAACUGAGACACGGUCCAGACUCCUACGGGAGGCAGCAGUGGGGAAUAUUGGACAAUGGGCGCAAGCCUGAUCCAGCCAUACCGCGUGGGUGAAGAAGGCCUUCGGGUUGUAAAGCCCUUUUGUUGGGAAAGAAAUCCUGUCGAUUAAUACUCGGUGGGGAUGACGGUACCCAAAGAAUAAGCACCGGCUAACUUCGUGCCAGCCGCCGCAGUAAGAC
rnacentral:rRNA from 1 species